rnacentral:rRNA from 1 species
UACGUAGGCAGCGAGCGUUGUUCGGAGUUACUGGGCGUAAAGAGUGCGUAGGCGGUGCUCUAAGUUUGGUGUGAAAUCUCCCGGCUCAACUGGGAGGGUGCGCCGAAAACUGGAGUGCUCGAGUAUGGGAGAGGUAAGCGGAAUUCCUGGUGUAGCGGUGAAAUGCGUAGAUAUCUGGAGGAACACCGGUGGCGAAGGCGGCAUCCUGGACCAUGACUGACGCUGAGGAGCGAAAGCCAGGGGAGCAAACGGG